UACGUAGGGUGCAAGCGUUGUCCGGAAUUAUUGGGCGUAAAGAGCUCGUAGGCGGUCUGCUAAGCGUGCGGUGAAAGCCUGGGGCUCAACCCCAGGUCUGCCGUGCGAACUGGUGGACUAGAGCACUGUAGAGGCAGGUGGAAUUCCGGGUGUAGCGGUGGAAUGCGUAGAGAUCCGGAAGAACACCGGUGGCGAAGGCGGCCUGCUGGGCAGUUGCUGACGCUGAGGCGCGACAGCGUGGGGAGCAAACAGG
rnacentral:rRNA from 1 species